AACCGUCGACAGUCAGGCAACGAGCGAGACCCACGCCAACAGUUGCCAGCAUGUCCUCCGGGAUGAUGGGGACACUGUUGGGACCGCCUCUGCUAAAGAGGAGGAAGGAAUGGGCAACGGUAGGUCAGCAUGCCCCGAAUUAUCCGGGCUACACGCGGGCUACAAUGGGCAGGACAAUGGGUAUCGACACCGAGAGGUGAAGGCAAUCUCCUAAACCUGUCCUAAGUUCGGAUUGCGGGUUGCAACUCGCCCGCAUGAAGCUGGAAUCUGUAGUAAUCGCGUCUCAAAAUGGCGCGGUGAAUAUGUCCCUGCUCCUUGCACGAAUUCGCCG
rnacentral:rRNA from 1 species